UCCUCGAUAGCUCAGCGGUGGAGCACUCGGCUGUUAACCGAUAGGUCGUCCGUUCGAAUCGGACUCGGGGAGCCA
rnacentral:tRNA from 1 species